GCAUGGUUGUCGUCAGCUCGUGCCGUGAAGUGUCGGCUUAAGUGCCAUAACGAGCGCAACCCCUGCCGGUAGUUGCCAGCGGAUCACGCCGGGGACUCUACCGGGACUGCCAGCGCAAGGUGCGAGGAAGGCGGGGAUGACGUCAAAUCAGCACGGCCCUUACGUCUGGGGCGACACACGUGUUACAAUGGCCGGUACAGAGGGCAGCCACCCCGCGAGGGGGCGCGAAUCUCCAAAGCCGGUCGUAGUUCGGAUCGGAGGCUGCAACCCGCCUCCGUGAAGCUGGAU
rnacentral:rRNA from 1 species